GAGCUGUGGUGGCCCCCGCCUGCUCGGGCUGGGAUCCCACUUCAUCCUGAGCCUCAUUUCAUGGAAGCGUGUCCAGAGGCAGCCCGGCCACAGGCUGAAGCAAAAACCCAGAGCGGGUGAUUCGGGAGCUGCUCCAGUGCCUACCACAGCCUCCGACCCAGUGGGAGCAGCCCGGGCCCUGCCCCGGGGUGCCCUGAGGCGGGGCAGUGCCCACUCCCGCCAGCCGCCCUCACAAGGCCCAGGCCGCCUCCUUCCCACAAGGCCCAGCAGGGCCGCCCUCACUCCUGCCCCGCCCUGCCAUGUCCCGCCCGGCCUCACCCUGCACCGUGGCCUCUGCCACACCCCACGGUGACGUGCUGAGUGUUCCACCUGCCAUUGUGACGCCACAGGCGCCAGUCGAGCACAGCUUUGUUGGUGCCCGGAGCCGGCGCUCAGAGCUUCUGUAGCCUCUCGAGGAGCAGUAGCACAUCCCGCUGUGGGAGCAUUUCGCGCCUGUAUCGCCGUCUUGGUAGCUGCAGGCCACGAACGCUGCACAGGGCAACCUCGUCUGCCUUGUGCUUUAUACCCUGUGCCCAUCCUUCUUCUCAUCCUCGUCCCCUUUGUCACCCUCACCCUUAACCUCACCCUCGUCCCAUUCGUCAUCCCUACUUGGCGCCCGGCAGCCCCUCCGCAAGGGGGCUUCUUGCACUUCCUGCUGCUGGUAGCUCCAAGCAGGGCCAUGCCGUGGCUUCUCAGCAAGAAGCGACGGCAGUCACCAUCCAGCACCACCAGUGGGCAGCCCUGGGCUGCCACCAGCUCCACCAGCGCCUCCGAGCUCAGGGAGAAGGGGCUGGGCAGGCUGCACCGCGCGGCCGCCCGCGGCGACCUGGCCUGGCUGAGGCGCUGGCGCUGGUAUGUGAAGGUAGUCGGCAUCGACAGGCGAGACCAGGAGAUGCGGACACCUCUGCAUCUCGCUUCGGCAAACGGCCAUGCAGAUGUCCUUAGAUAUCUGCUAAGAAAGAACAGCCAGCCGAAUCUCGCUGACAACUUGAAGAGAACGGCACUGAUGAAGGCAGUACAGCAGGAGCAGGAAGAAUGUGUUGCUAUUCUGCUGGAACACGGUGCCGACCCGAAUCUGGCAGACGCUGGCGGCAACACUGCCCUUCACCUGGCUGUCCUAUCUAAAAAUACAGCUGUAGCAGGGCUGUUACUCGAGCAUAAUGCCAAUAGUGAUGCUCAGAACCAGAUGGGAUUUACUCCCUUAAAACUUGCAGCCCUCCUACAGCAUGAGGAGAUCCUGGAGUGCCUUCUGAAAAAAGCAGCUGACAGGCAUGCUCAAGCCCAAAGUGAAAGGACUGCUUUUGUGGUUACUGGAACCCAUGAGGCUCACCUGGAGGAAGAUAAUCUGCGCUUGCAGGAGGAGUUGGACAGGGCUGACACGGAGCUGCGGGAGGAGGAAGAAAAGCAUCUUCAGUCUGAGCAUUGUGUUCGUGACUUGAAGACUGCCUUGGAUGAUGAAGAAAGAGAAGCAAUAACUUCUUCCCCGAAACUGCAGGACCUCUUGUUGCCAUCUUCCAAGACUAAUACCACUCUAAAACAACUGGAAGAACACGUGCAACACCUUGAAAUUGAAAACACCAGAUUGGAAGCCACUGUCCAGCAACAAAGCAAUAGGAUUGAAGUCCUUCAGAGAGACCUGCAAGCCUCUGCCUCAGUUGGUGAACUUUCCCAGCAGCUGGACAUGGAGCCUAAAACAGGCAUGCAGCUAGAGGCCCAAAACCAGACUUUGCGAGAAGAGCUGUCCACUCUGCGUGGGAAUUGUGAAAAACUGGAGAAGAGCAAAUGCCAGCUGCAAGAAGAAGUGACAAAAGUCCAUCAUCAUUUGGAGACUUUCGUGCUGGAUGGCAGCCAAACAGCACAAUGUAAAAGAGAGGUGGAAGAACGAGCUGACCAGGAAAUAAGUCAAAAGCUACAAGACGUCAGUCUCGUUCUGCAAGCACAGGCAGCCUCCCAGGCUCCAUUAGGACAAAACGGAGACAGUCAUUGCGAUUCAGUGAGAAUCCAGUUAGAAGAAAGAAUUAGAGAUCUCAAAAGUGAACUGGACAGGGUAAAAAAAACCCAACAAGAGAGUGCUUCUCGUAAAGAAGCAAUGCGAGGAGAAAUGGAAAUGUACAAAGACCUGUAUCUGGAGGAAUUGAAAACUAGAAGAUGCCUAGACAAGAAAGUGGAAAGGUUGGAAAAGCUUCUGAGGGUAGAUAGGAGGAAACUCAGGGCUAAUGAAGAGAAAGAAACCCAGUCCCAGCUGGAAGAAAUGAAGAACAGAUAUUCUGAAAAGGUCAAGGAAGUGGAUAGAUUACGAACAGAGGUUGCUGAACUUUCCCAGCAGCUGGACAGGGAAAGUAAAAAGUGCACGCAGCUGGAAGCCAAAAAUCAGGAUUUGCAAGAAGAGCUGUCUAUCCUGCGUGGGAAGUGCAAAAACCUGGAGACGGACAAAUGCCAGCUGCAAGAAGAGCUGGCAAAAGUCCAGCACCAUUUGGAGACUAACAUGGUGGAUCGCACCCAACUAGAACAAUGUAAAAGAGAGGCGGAAGAACGAGCAGACCACGAAAUAAGACAGAAACUCCAACAAGUCAAUGAGUUUUUGCAAGCACAGGCAGCCUCCCAGGACAGAUUAGAACAAAUCAGAACCAGUCAUUUAGACUCACUGAAAAAACAGCUAGAAGACAGAAUUAGAGAUCUUGAACGUGCACUGCGAAGGAUAAAAAGCGAGCAACCAGAAAGACCUUUUCAAAAAGAAUCCACCCAGGCAGAAGUGGAAAUGUACAAAGAGCUCUAUCUGGUGGAAGCAAAAACCAGAAAAAGCCUAGCCAAGAAACUGGAAAGAGCUGAUGAGAGACUUGCAGAGGCCGACAUCAAGCUCUUUUUGGAGCGCCAUAGAAGCAAAUCUGCAGUCACAAGCAGCGCUGUCAGCGGACAUCUGGCUGCAAGUCCACUUCUGGAUCCAGCUGGCCUGGGAUAUCUUGGCAACCACUUGGGACUGAACAGAAGUCUGGGUUUCAGAACACCACCCAGACAUCUGUGGUAAAGCCGAAGAUUUUAGGACAUCAGGCACGACAGGAACGGGAUGCAAAAAUCGCUAGAGACCUUCAACGAGCCUUCCAGUUGAGACUUGAAUGUGAAAACUUCCUGCUUACCAAAAUGUUGCGUACAAUGUUAUGCAGUUGCCUGGAAAAAGCCAAGCGCAAAGAAACCCUUGGCUUAAGCUGAAGUUGCCCUUCACUAGAGUUCAUCUCAAGCACAAACAGCAAAGCAGCCAAGAGAUAAGUAUAAGCUUCAGCCAUCACUUCCCCUCCCAUGCACACCGAUGGCAUUCAGCACUAAACCGCACCAUACCCAUUCUUUGCGGUUGGUUCCUGAUUUUGGCUACGAUUCUAUGAUUCAUGGCUUGUCUUGGUAGCUUAGGGGGUGCAGUCUUUUUUGGAAUAAGCAAGAAGAUCAGUGACAAAAAAUAAUCUGCCUUUAGGAAAAGAGUAUUCAGUACUUUUUUGGCAAAUAUCCGUUCAGUGCUUGCCAUACAUAGCAUAAAACAUGCUGUAGAAUUUGAGGCCAGGUGUCCCAAGAGGAAAUGCACCUGUUCCAUGGGAAUUUGUUCCUCCAGAGUUACUGCUUUGUAGUGCCUGGUGCUGUGUAGUAGUAGUAGUGUGCCAAUAAAUCACUGGUUUGAACAUAAAAGGAAAGCAGAGACUUCGGGUUGAAGAGGUCUACAGGGGGCUGUUUAGCACAGGAGUCAUUUGUGGAUUGCCUGAAGGUGUUCAGUGUGUAGCCCCCGGAAUGUCUUCCACUUGCUUUAGAAAUGCUGUUGUCGGAUAAGCAAUUGUGGAAAAAAUGGGUUUCUUCCUUUGCACCUAGCCCUUCCAUUGUUAUGUUCCCUUGGAAAUUUUAAAGUCUCUGUCUGGAUUGCAGUCUCUUGUGUUGCCUGUCAUGUCCUUGCCUUAUUUUGCCCUGUCUGCUGUAAAAGUAACACCAGGAAUCUUGUCAAUUUUCCCGCCAGCCACUGCUAAACUUACAAGGGGAUCUGCUGGAUCUUCAAAAAAUCUUCAUGUGGACCACGGACGCGGUCCCUGUGGCAAUAACAGGUUUGCCACUCUCUGGAUGAGGGUGUAAAAAAUGGCUCCUUUAGGGAGCUUUCAUAUUCAGCAAUGUCCUCACUCCCGACAGACCAGGAUCCCCUUUCCAGAGUAAUGGAGGAGCACCGUGAUUCUUUAAUCAAAAAUUACCGGAUUUGAAUGAAAUGCUAUAGAGAGGCUCUGGAAAUCCUUCAGUGUUCACAAUUGCUGAUCUUGAUUCUUGAGCAUGAAAGAGCUCAAAUCCUCGGAGCCAUCAUAGUGAUUCAGCGAGAAAACAGAAGAAAGAAGUAGAGAUCUCAAAAGUCAAUUGGACAGGACAAAAAACACCCAGCAAGACAGACCUCUUCAAAAAGAAUCCACCCAGGCAGAAGUGGAAAUGUACAAAGAGCUCUAUCUGGCGGAAGCGAAAACCAGAAAAAGCCUAGCCAAGAAACUGGAAAGAGCUGAUGAGAGACUUGCAGAGGCCAACACCAAGUUCCUUUUGGAGCGCCAUAGAAGCAAAUCUGCAAUCACAAGCAGCGCUGUCAGCGGACAUCUGGCUGCAAGUCCACUUCUGUAUUCAACUGGCGUGGGACAUCUUGGGAACAGUUUGGGACUGAACAGAAGUCUGGGUCUCAGAACACCACCCAGACAUCUGUGGUAAAGCCGAAGACUUUAGGUCAUCUGUAGCAAUCCGAAACUCGGAUAUCAGCACAAAAGGAUUAUGUAGCAGGCCAUGGACAACAGGGGCUGAAAGAAAUCCCACCACCUGAGGAUCACAUGCUUCUUCACAAGACCUGCUGAUAUUUAACUAUGUUGAUCGACCUGGCUCCUGCAGCAAGAUAUGGAAAGACUUUGUGAUGAUGAUAUCAGACUACUCCCUUUGUUCCUCUAGUUAGCAUAAUCCAUCCCCAACUUAGCAUAAUCCAUCCUCCUCAUUAACAUGUCCGGCCCCCGAGACCCUUAAAUUGUGAGAUGCGUGUUCAAUAAAGAUUCCAGUUUUCACCCCCAAA